AUACUCUCAAACUUAACCUUUUUUCUUUAUUGAAGGAAGGUUAUAGUUUGGACUUGGAUGUUGCUGCUAUUUUAUUAUAGCAGCUCGUCUCGAAAUGCAUUAGCUGGUCCGCCGCGGUUUAUAACUCAUAAUGGUGUGAUAAGAAACAAUUUCAUUGUUGAUUUGUAGCGCUGUUGUUAUAAACUUGAAGUGACUGCUUCUAAUAGUCUCUUGACUGAGACAAUAACUUCAUGUC
rnacentral:misc_RNA from 1 species